GUUUUGAAAGCAUUCAAAACAACAUAGCUCUAAAAC
rnacentral:other from 1 species